UCCCCUCCCCUCCCUCAGUCGCCGCGCGCGCGCGCCGGCCGCAGGCUGCACUCGCGCCGCUCGCCCGCCCCCCGAUUGGCCCGUGCCCUCGCGCCGCCGGCGCUCGACAGGGAGCUCAUAAUAAAAGGGGCUGCAUCAUCCUCACACUUGGCAGAGUUCCUUGUCAAAUUUGGGCCCAAGGGAUGCCAGGAGCGCCAUAGGAGACCCCUUUUCCCACCCUCCACCCCGGAUGGCCUGGGAGAUGUGACAGCCCCCGGUGUGAGCACUGAUGCCAAGGAGAACCAUGCGGCAGCAGCGCAGUGAAGCCGGGCAUCACAGGGUUUUGCUCGCUGGAAUCCAGACGGCAGCGAUGGAGGCCGUUCCAGCACGGCAGCGGCAAUGAAGGGCCCUGUCCCCCUGACUCAGCUCGGCUCCGGCACCGGACCAUGAGCUCCCACCGCCCCCCGCGGCACGACGGCUCUGAUGCCGAGGGUUGCCCAGCGGCAUUUUGGGCGCAAAAUGGCAGUGUGCCGACGGUGGGGGGUGAACCCCCUCGCCUGGCCACCACCACGCCGGCCGUGCCCAAAAUGGGGGUGCGUGCCCGCAUCGCUGACUGGCCCCCCAAGAGAGACGCUGUCAAGGACCCCCCUGCUGGCACCAGCCCGUGCCGGGAGGCAGCAGGCAGCCGGGAUGCCGCUUGCUGCCGGGGUUUUGCCAGCGGGCAGCAGCCCCUCACCAGCGUUUCGGGCUUUAAGGCCCUUCACCGCCU